CAAGACCAAAACAGACGUGGUUUAAGUUGGCUACAAACUCGUGAUAGGUGUAAAGCAGAGUGAACUAUAAACAAAAAUCGAACCGGACAGUAUGUAGUCCAGAACAGCUGGAACAUGCCCAACAAUGGGAAAUCGAAGAAUGCGAUUGCGAAGAACAUCGGAAUAACAGAUGCUGAUUUGCAAAAGUGUCUAAAGGACUCGGCAACGAACGAUUCAACAUCACGUUUACUCCAGAGUAAUGGGAAGAACUAAGAGAUCACUGCAAAUCUCUUGAGGAGUGUUUCUAUGAUCGCGUAGAACUGUGUUCCGUCAAUUCAACCAUGGAUUCAAUGCUGAAACGCAGAUGGAUGGAAAAGGGAAGGUGCACAGAAGCAGCACACAGCACAGCAAGAAGGGACCGGUGCGUAAGCUUACCUUGACAGAUGCUGUCACCGUUGCCGUUUCGCUAAAGUAGAGCUGAUGGCCGGACGCCUUGCCGCACCAGGAGCCACCGGUAAACGGGCGACCCAGUUCGCUGAGCUGGAAGCAAAAGCAAAUGAGAUAUAGGUUGAAGUUUAAUGGUGUCAGUGAAGGAAAUUAUGUUUGAUGCUGGAUUAUAAAUAUAAGGAGAAAGUUGGCGCUUAGGAUCCAAUAUACUUAUAACAAGGCAAGCUGAAAUGUUUCGAUUCGCAUAAUUCAUACGCAUAUGCAACAUAUUUCGGAAUACAUUUUCAAAAUCAUCUGAAAGUCAUAAAUUUAUAAAUUCUUAAGAAGAAGAUGUACAAUUACACUACAGCGAUGUUUAAGGGCAUAAUCAACACUGAUGGAUAAGCAUGAGGGUGUCUACAACACGUGAAUACGAAUAUUUUCAAAGAUGAAUUAAAAAAACCCUGAUUAAUCCACCGAGCGGUAAUGGUGCCUUUCUCGUGCAAAUGAAAAACUGUAUUUUGUCCAGAACUCCCAAGGCCAUGGUCCAAUCUGGCCAAUUUUCGAUAGGAAAUAAUGGAACAGAAUUCUGCGUCAAAUGCAACUUGUUGCAAGCAAAUCGGUUAAAGAUAAGUGCCUGGAAAAUGAGUGACAAAUUUUUAAUAAUUUUUUUUUUGUAAAAAAAUGUUUUUUGGCCAUAAUUUCCGAGCCCAUUGUCCGAUCUGGCCAAUUUUGAAAAGGAAACAAUGGGACAAGAUUCUGCGUCAUCGGUUAAAGAUUAGUUAGUUGUAGUUAAAGUUGCAGCAAAAGUUCCCCUGAAAAACUUUGUCGAAGACAUCAAGUUCGUAGUUCCGUUACU